rnacentral:rRNA from 1 species
ACGGAGGAUCCAAGCGUUAUCCGGAUUUACUGGGUUUAAAGGGUGCGUAGGCGGAUUGAUAAGUCAGUGGUGAAAGCCUACAGCUUAACUGUAGAACUGCCAUUGAUACUGCCAGUCUGGAGUAUGGUUGAGGUAGCUGGAAUGUGUCAUGUAGCGGUGAAAUGCGUAGAGAUGAGACGGAACACCAACGGCGAAGGCGCGUUACCGACCCAUUACUGACGCUGAGGCGCGAAAGCGUGGGGAGCAAACAG